rnacentral:pre_miRNA from 1 species
AGGUUAUCCGUGUUGUCUUCUCUUUAUUUAUGAUGAAACAUACACGGGAAACCUCU